rnacentral:tRNA from 1 species
GGUGGUAAAACCCAGUGGCAGAGCAUUUGCCUAGCAUGCAGAGGCCCUGGGUUCAAUCCCCCAGUACCAUGA